rnacentral:rRNA from 1 species
UGGGGAAUUUUGCGCAAUGGGGGAAACCCUGACGCAGCAACGCCGCGUGUGUGAAGAAGGCCUUCGGGUUGUAAAACACUUUUUGAGGGGAUGAGGAAGGACAGUACCCUCAGAAUAAGCCUCGGCUAACUACGUGCCAGCAGCCGCGGUAAAACGUAGGAGGCGAGCGUUAUCCGGAUUUACUGGGCGUAAAGCGCGUGCAGGCGGCACGGCAAGUUGGAUGUGAAAGCUCCCGGCUUAACUGGGAGAGGUCGUUCAAAACUGCCGAGCUAGAGUGCGGGAGAGGGAGGUGGAAUUCCGGGUGUAGUGGUGAAAUGCGUAGAUAUCCGGAGGAACACCAGUGGCGAAAGCGGCCUCCUGGUCCGCAACUGACGCUCAGACGCGAAAGCUAGGGUAGCAAACGG